GCACGAAUGGCGUAACGACUUCUCGACUGUCUCAACCACUAGCCCGGUGAAAUUGCACUACGAGUAAAGAUGCUCGUUUCGCGCAGCAGGACGGAAAGUACCCCGGGACCUUUACUACAGUUUGAUAUUGGUGUUCGGUUCGGCUUGUGUAGGAUAGCUGGGAGACUGUGAAGCGCUAACGCCAGUUAGUGUGGAGUCGUCGUUGAAAUACCAGUCUGGUCGUGCUGGAUGUCUAACCUGGGUCCGUGAUCCGGAUCAGGGACAGUGUCUGAUGGGUAGUUUAACUGGGGCGGUUGCCUCCUAAAGAGUAACGGAGGCGCCCAAAGGUUCCCUCAGCCUGGUUGGCAAUCAGGUGUUGAGUGUAAGUGCACAAGGGAGCUUGACUGUGAGACCGACGGGUCGAGCAGGGACGAAAGUCGGGACUAGUGAUCCGGCGGUGGCUUGUGGAAGCGCCGU
rnacentral:ncRNA from 1 species